GAUGAACGCUGGCGGCGUGCCUAAUACAUGCAAGUCGAGCGAACGGACGAGAAGCUUGCUUCUCUGAUGUUAGCGGCGGACGGGUGAGUAACACGUGGAUAACCUACCUAUAAGACUGGGAUAACUUCGGGAAACCGGAGCUAAUACCGGAUAAUAUUUUGAACCGCAUGGUUCAAAAGUGAAAGACGGUCUUGCUGUCACUUAUAGAUGGAUCCGCGCUGCAUUAGCUAGUUGGUAAGGUAACGGCUUACCAAGGCAACGAUGCAUAGCCGACCUGAGAGGGUGAUCGGCCACACUGGAACUGAGACACGGUCCAGACUCCUACGGGAGGCAGCAGUAGGGAAUCUUCCGCAAUGGGCGAAAGCCUGACGGAGCAACGCCGCGUGAGUGAUGAAGGUCUUCGGAUCGUAAAACUCUGUUAUUAGGGAAGAACAUAUGUGUAAGUAACUGUGCACAUCUUGACGGUACCUAAUCAGAAAGCCACGGCUAACUACGUGCCAGCAGCCGCGGUAAUACGUAGGUGGCAAGCGUUAUCCGGAAUUAUUGGGCGUAAAGCGCGCGUAGGCGGUUUUUUAAGUCUGAUGUGAAAGCCCACGGCUCAACCGUGGAGGGUCAUUGGAAACUGGAAAACUUGAGUGCAGAAGAGGAAAGUGGAAUUCCAUGUGUAGCGGUGAAAUGCGCAGAGAUAUGGAGGAACACCAGUGGCGAAGGCGACUUUCUGGUCUGUAACUGACGCUGAUGUACGAAAGCGUGGGGAUCAAACAGGAUUAGAUACCCUGGUAGUCCACGCCGUAAACGAUGAGUGCUAAGUGUUAGGGGGUUUCCGCCCCUUAGUGCUGCAGCUAACGCAUUAAGCACUCCGCCUGGGGAGUACGACCGCAAGGUUGAAACUCAAAGGAAUUGACGGGGACCCGCACAAGCGGUGGAGCAUGUGGUUUAAUUCGAAGCAACGCGAAGAACCUUACCAAAUCUUGACAUCCUUUGACAACUCUAGAGAUAGAGCCUUCCCCUUCGGGGGACAAAGUGACAGGUGGUGCAUGGUUGUCGUCAGCUCGUGUCGUGAGAUGUUGGGUUAAGUCCCGCAACGAGCGCAACCCUUAAGCUUAGUUGCCAUCAUUAAGUUGGGCACCCUAAGUUGACUGCCGGUGACAAACCGGAGGAAGGUGGGGAUGACGUCAAAUCAUCAUGCCCCUUAUGAUUUGGGCUACACACGUGCUACAAUGGACAAUACAAAGGGCAGCGAAACCGCGAGGUCAAGCAAAUCCCAUAAAGUUGUUCUCAGUUCGGAUUGUAGUCUGCAACUCGACUACAUGAAGCUGGAAUCGCUAGUAAUCGUAGAUCAGCAUGCUACGGUGAAUACGUUCCCGGGUCU
rnacentral:rRNA from 1 species